GGAUUGUGGCUCAGCGGUAGAGUUCUCGCCUAGCGCAAACGAGACCCGGGUUCAAUCCUCAGCACCA
rnacentral:tRNA from 1 species